AAUUGCAAAUGAACGACCAAACGCGAAAAAGUGAAAUAAGUAAAUGCGGACCGAAGUAAACACAAGUAGGAGUUGUGAUUAACUUUAGCCAGAUUACGGAAGAUGAUGGUUUGUUUCACGUAACCUAAAACUAAACGAGCGCGGUGCUAAAUGGUUAAGUAAAAACAAAAGCAAAAAGAAACCGUUAAUUAUUAAAGGAUCGCGAGCCCAUUACUGUUUAAAUUUCUGGGUGGAAAAGUUCAAUUCUUGUCUAUAUAAGACAUGGAAACAUUGGGUUGCGCUUGCGACCCAUGAGAAGAGCAAGGGAUGGCAAUUUAUGGCAUCAUAAUGUUGCAUAUGGGAGACGUCGUAGCACUACCUGAAGAGGAUACUGCCAUACUUUGUUAUUUUCGCGUGCCCGUAAAGCGAAUGGGCCACUGAAUUGGCGACGAAACCUCCUGCUACUGCAGCCAAUCUACAGCCACCGAACUGUUUUAAGUUGAAGAAAUCCACUGGCACUUGCUAAUAUUGUAGCGAUCAUAUGCCAAAAACAAUGUCCGGGCUAUCGUAUUGGAACAGGUGUUUAGUGACUACCUGAUUGGAUCUGGAGAAUAAAUCUUUCGUUAUUGACAUCUGCACAGAUUAUAAUACUAAUAUUGUAACCCAGUCUAAAUCUGUAAUCACAAAAGAUCGCUGAAGGUACAUUUUAGAAUAAUAAAACUGACAUGGUCAUUAGGCAUUACCCGUUACCGCAUUAGGUUUGAAUGUGGAUCACAACAUUAUUUGGUCGUUCAUAAUGUGGAUGAUUUCUUUACCUUUACCUCAUUAAAAUAAGCAAGUAAAACAUUAAGUUUUACCUAUACCCUU